AUGACACACUCCGACUCCCCAGCGAAGUCGGCAGCCUAAUGGAUGACUCAUUAUACGGUCUAACGUACGACCCAGUGUGGCACCCAUGUCUUCAAAUUGGCCUAAUAUACGGCGCGAUCUGAAGCUUUCGUCAUCAAACCUCCCGGAUGGCAUCUUUAAGCCCAUCUCCAUCAAGACCAACUGUCGAUUCUCAAGUGCAAAUUUUUGGGGCAUUCUAGUGUUCAAUAAUCUUCCACCUCCAGACCACGAAUGGCAUACACGCCAUCCUAACUCUCUCGGUUCAAGAAUAUUGAACAGGGGCAGCUGUCAUACCCCAAAAAUUACCCAUCAUUUUUCCUAAAAAAAAAAAAAAAAAAAAAAAAAAAAAAAAAAAAAAAAAAAAACGAAAAAAAAAAAAAAAAAAGAAAAAAAAAAUAAAAA
rnacentral:lncRNA from 1 species